rnacentral:rRNA from 1 species
UAAUACGAACUGUGCGAACGUUAUUCGGAAUCACUGGGCUUAAAGGGUGCGUAGGCGGCCGUUUAGGUAGGGUGUGAAAUCCCCCGGCCCAACCGGGGAAUGGCGCUCUAAACCGUACGGCUCGAGUGAGGCAGGGGUGUGUGGAACUUCCAGUGGAGCGGUGAAAUGUGUUGAUAUUGGAAGGAACCCCGGUGGCGAAAGCGACACACUGGGCCUUAACUGACGCUGAGGCACGAAAGCCAGGGGAGCAAACGGGAUUAGAUACCCCGGUAGUCCUGGCUGUAAACGAUGAGCACUAGACGGGAGGGGUCUCGGCCCUUUCGGUCGUAGCGAAAGCGUUAAGUGCUCCGCCUGGGGAGUAUGGUCGCAAGGCUG